CCGCCUCCCGUCUCCUCCCCGCCCCCCGGAGCCGACGAGUGGCGGCGGCGGCCCCAGGUCCCGGGUCCCUCAGACAAGAGGGCGGGUGGAGGAGGAAGCGG
rnacentral:miRNA from 1 species